AAUGAGGUAUUGCCCACUGAAGCGCCCCGGCACACUUCUUUUUUUUUUUACUUGGCACUUUUGAAGUGUGUGACUUUUUUCACUAAACACCUGGAAGUUGUUCUGGGAAGUGUGUGUAUGUGUAUUGGGGAUGCACUGUGAGAUAGGUUGGGUGGAGGGGAUGACACACAUUGAGCUGAUUGGAGUGUUUGUGUCCCUUGGCUUGAUUAAAGUCAAGGUGGAUUGGACGGCUGUUCCAUUGCAAUAACUUAUACUUAGCAUCUCCUUCAUUCCUCUUGAUUUAGUCUCCCUUCACUUUUUACAGGUAGAAAGGCACCUUCUACCUGUCACUGUUUUAGUGAGAGAAUAACAUUCAGUCAACAGGCCCUGCGCUAGACUAGCGGCCUGUCCAGGAGGUGUACUUGUACAUCAAGCUGCCUCCGUGCUUCAGACACAGGAGAAUCAGGAGAUAGGCUACUUAAAGUCAACAGUGUAGCUGUACUCAAAGCCACAUCGUAUACUGUACACACAACUCUGUCAGUACUGUAUAGUCUAAACCAGAGUCAAACUACGGUGAUAAGCAACGCAAGCAAGCGUCAAACAAGCUAGCGUAAUGAAUGUAUGGUGAAAUCUGAAGGGAAAUGUAAUGAUAAAUCAGUAGGUAUCGUACAUUUCUGUGUGUUGACUACGAGGCCCUGUCUCUCUAAUGUCAUUAUCGUGUUGUCUGUUCUGGUGUCAUUUGCAGUGGGAGCCACCAACACAUAUGAGGGAUCCUUUGAAGCCAUUUUCAUAGGUGCUCUUAUCCAGAGAAACUUCUAGAAGUGCUUCGCUCAAGGGCAGAAGUAAUUUUUCCUCUGUUGGGGGUGCUGGUGCUGGUCGGGGCGCUGGUACUGUGCUACAUCGCCAAGCGUAAGGGCAAUUACCACACCUACGAGGCCGAGUGUGGUGAUUCUGUCGACACGUAUGGCAGUGCCUCUCAAAUUGAACAGGUUCAACUAGAGAUUUUGAACGAGGAAGAAUAGAAAGAAGAAUACUUCAUUUGAAACAGGACUUUUUCCGAUUCUAAACCGGGGCCAGUUGUCAACUCAAGAUGCCAAAUAUUUUCUACGGAAUUGGAAAAGCCUAUGAUGGUCAUCUAAUUUCAAGGCAACAUUUAUAUGGGGCAUACAACCAUCUCAGCUCUGCAGAUUUUGCCACGAAGAUAGAAUCAUUAGAUCACUUAUUUUUGUAUUGCGCAUAUAUACACUAUACUCUGUAUAUACAAAAUUAUGUGGACACCCAUUCAAAUUAGUGGAUUUAGCUAUUUCAGCCACAUUACAGCCUUAUUUCCCUCAUUAAUCAAUAUACAGAAGCACUUUUAUAAACAAUUAAUAUUCAUUACAUGUGACUAACUUCAAGCUUACAAUUAUAGUACAAUAGUUAAACCAAUAUCAGAUUGUUGAGAUUUCGAAAAGACGUAAAAGCUAGAGAAAUUAACAAUCCUAUAAUAACAAUAAUAACCCUUUUAUUUUCCUUUCUUAAAAUGUUUAUAUUCAAAAGAUAGUACCUUGUUUGAAUGUCUAUUAUGAGGAUGUUGAGCGGGCUUAAUGUAUAAUAAUGUAUAGCAUUUCUGAAUGUAAUAUCUGUUUUCUAUUUUUUGACGUCCAAUAGUAAUCUGAGCUUGUAAAAUUAAAUCAAGGCAUAGGCAUCUUUCCUAACGCCAAACUGGAUGUUUGUUUUUUUGGCCUCAAGGUACCAAUAACUGAGAAAAGGGAAAUGCUACGGCAAGGACCAUAAGAACACAAAAAAUACUUUCAUGAAACCUGACAGACAUUUCACCUAUGACAAUACUGGAAACAAAUCAGUCAAAAAUGUAAAUUCCCCUUCUUCUUAUGCAAGUCUCUGUAACUAAUAUAUUACCAUAUGAUUAAAGAGAAACGACCUUGUUUUGCCUGAUGAAAACAGUGUCUAAUUAGCAAGAAAACACUCGUUCCAGAGAGGAAGGACUUUUUGUAUCAACAAGGCAACAACAGGGAAGUUUCAAAAGGAAACUGAAGACAGCUGAAUCACAAGGGGGUUUGUUC
rnacentral:lncRNA from 1 species